rnacentral:rRNA from 1 species
UUAAGCGACUAAGCGUACACGGUGGAUGCCCUGGCAGUCAGAGGCGAUGAAGGACGUGCUAAUCUGCGAAAAGCGCCGGCGAGGUGAUAUGAACCCUUGACCCGGCGAUGUCCGAAUGGGGAAACCCAGUGUGUUUCGACACACUAUCGUUAACUGAAUACAUAGGUUAACGAGGCGAACCGGGGGAACUGAAACAUCUAAGUACCCCGAGGAAAAGAAAUCAACCGAGAUUCCCCCAGUAGCGGCGAGCGAACGGGGAGCAGCCCGGAGUCUGAAUCAGCUUGUGUGUUAGUGGAACGGUCUGGAAAGUCCGACGGUACAGGGUGAUAGUCCCGUACACGAAAAUGCACAGGUUGUGAACUCGAAGAGUAGGGCGGGACACGUGGUAUCCUGUCUGAAUAUGGGGGGACCAUCCUCCAAGGCUAAAUACUCCUGACUGACCGAUAGUGAACCAGUACCGUGAGGGAAAGGCGAAAAGAACCCCGGCGAGGGGAGUGAAAAAGAACCUGAAACCGUGUACGUACAAGCAGUGGGAGCACCUUCGGGUGUGACUGCGUACCUUUUGUAUAAUGGGUCAGCGACUUAUAUUCUGUAGCAAGGUUAACCGUAUAGGGGAGCCGAAGGGAAACCGAGUCUUAACUGGGCGUUAAGUUGCAGGGUAUAGACCCGAAACCCGGUGAUCUAGCCAUGGGCAGGUUGAAGGUUGGGUAACACUAACUGGAGGACCGAACCGACUAAUGUUGAAAAAUUAGCGGAUGACCUGUGGCUGGGGGUGAAAGGCCAAUCAAACCGGGAGAUAGCUGGUUCUCCCCGAAAGCUAUUUAGGUAGCGCCUCGUGAACUCAUCUUCGGGGGUAGAGCACUGUUUCGGCUAGGGGGCCAUCCCGGCUUACCAACCCGAUGCAAACUACGAAUACCGAAGAAUGUUAUCACGGGAGACACACGGCGGGUGCUAACGUCCGUCGUGAAGAGGGAAACAACCCAGACCGCCAGCUAAGGUCCCAAAGUCAUGGUUAAGUGGGAAACGAUGUGGGAAGGCACAGACAGCCAGGAUGUUGGCUUAGAAGCAGCCAUCAUUUAAAGAAAGCGUAAUAGCUCACUGGUCGAGUCGGCCUGCGCGGAAGAUGUAACGGGGCUAAACCAUGCACCGAAGCUGCGGCAGCGACACUUAUGUGUUGUUGGGUAGGGGAGCGUUCUGUAAGCCGUUGAAGGUGUGCUGUGAGGCAUGCUGGAGGUAUCAGAAGUGCGAAUGCUGACAUAAGUAACGAUAAAGCGGGUGAAAAGCCCGCUCGCCGGAAGACCAAGGGUUCCUGUCCAACGUUAAUCGGGGCAGGGUGAGUCGACCCCUAAGGCGAGGCCGAAAGGCGUAGUCGAUGGGAAACAGGUUAAUAUUCCUGUACUUGGUGUUACUGCGAAGGGGGGACGGAGAAGGCUAUGUCAGCCGGGCGACGGUUGUCCCGGUUUAAGCAUGUAGGCGGAGGUUCCAGGUAAAUCCGGUACCUUGUUAACGCUGAGGUGUGAUGACGAGGCACUACGGUGCUGAAGUGAUAAAUGCCCUGCUUCCAGGAAAAGCCUCUAAGCAUCAGGUAACACGAAAUCGUACCCCAAACCGACACAGGUGGUCAGGUAGAGAAUACCAAGGCGCUUGAGAGAACUCGGGUGAAGGAACUAGGCAAAAUGGUGCCGUAACUUCGGGAGAAGGCACGCUGAUGUGUAGGUGAAGCCCCUGCGGGCGGAGCUGAAAUCAGUCGAAGAUACCAGCUGGCUGCAACUGUUUAUUAAAAACACAGCACUGUGCAAACACGAAAGUGGACGUAUACGGUGUGACGCCUGCCCGGUGCCGGAAGGUUAAUUGAUGGGGUUAGCGGCAACGCGAAGCUCUUGAUCGAAGCCCCGGUAAACGGCGGCCGUAACUAUAACGGUCCUAAGGUAGCGAAAUUCCUUGUCGGGUAAGUUCCGACCUGCACGAAUGGCGUAAUGAUGGCCAGGCUGUCUCCACCCGAGACUCAGUGAAAUUGAACUCGCUGUGAAGAUGCAGUGUACCCGCGGCAAGACGGAAAGACCCCGUGAACCUUUACUAUAGCUUGACACUGAACACUGGUCCUUGAUGUGUAGGAUAGGUGGGAGGCUUUGAAGCGUGGACGCCAGUCUGCGUGGAGCCAUCCUUGAAAUACCACCCUUUAAUGGCUGGUGUUCUAACGUAGACCCGUGAUCCGGGUUGCGGACAGUGUCUGGUGGGUAGUUUGACUGGGGCGGUCUCCUCCCAAAGAGUAACGGAGGAGCACGAAGGUUGGCUAAUCCUGGUCGGACAUCAGGAGGUUAGUGCAAUGGCAUAAGCCAGCUUGACUGCGAGCGUGACGGCGCGAGCAGGUGCGAAAGCAGGUCAUAGUGAUCCGGUGGUUCUGAAUGGAAGGGCCAUCGCUCAACGGAUAAAAGGUACUCCGGGGAUAACAGGCUGAUACCGCCCAAGAGUUCAUAUCGACGGCGGUGUUUGGCACCUCGAUGUCGGCUCAUCACAUCCUGGGGCUGAAGUAGGUCCCAAGGGUAUGGCUGUUCGCCAUUUAAAGUGGUACGCGAGCUGGGUUUAGAACGUCGUGAGACAGUUCGGUCCCUAUCUGCCGUGGGCGCUGGAGAAUUGAGGGGGGCUGCUCCUAGUACGAGAGGACCGGAGUGGACGCAUCACUGGUGUUCGGGUUGUCAUGCCAAUGGCACUGCCCGGUAGCUAAAUGCGGAAGAGAUAAGUGCUGAAAGCAUCUAAGCACGAAACUUGCCCCGAGAUGAGUUCUCCCUGAGACCUUGAGUCUCCUGAAGGAACGUUGAAGACGACGACGUUGAUAGGUCGGGUGUGUAAGCGCAGCGAUGCGUUGAGCUAACCGAUACUAAUGAACCGUGAGGCUUAACCUU